UACGAAGGGGGCUAGCGUUGCUCGGAAUCACUGGGCGUAAAGGGUGCGUAGGCGGGUCUUUAAGUCAGGGGUGAAAUCCUGGAGCUCAACUCCAGAACUGCCUUUGAUACUGAGGAUCUUGAGUUCGGGAGAGGUGAGUGGAACUGCGAGUGUAGAGGUGAAAUUCGUAGAUAUUCGCAAGAACACCAGUGGCGAAGGCGGCUUUCUGGACGGUAACUGACGCUGAGGCGCGAAAGCGUGGGGAGCAAACAGG
rnacentral:rRNA from 1 species